AUGAACGCUGGCGGCGUGCCUCAUCCAUGCAAGUCGAGCGAACGGACGAGAAGCUUGCUUCUCUGAUGUUAGCGGCGGACGGGUGAGUAACACGUGGAUAACCUACCUAUAAGACUGGGAUAACUUCGGGAAACCGGAGCUAAUACCGGAUAAUAUUUUGAACCGCAUGGUCCAAAAGUGAAAGACGGUCUUGCUGUCACUUAUAGAUGGAUCCGCGCUGCAUUAGCUAGUUGGUAAGGUAACGGCUUACCAAGGCAACGAUGCAUAGCCGACCUGAGAGGGUGAUCGGCCACACUGGAACUGAGACACGGUCCAGACUCCUACGGGAGGCAGCAGUAGGGAAUCUUCCGCAAUGGGCGAAAGCCUGACGGAGCAACGCCGCGUGAGUGAUGAAGGUCUUCGGAUCGUAAAACUCUGUUAUUAGGGAAGAACAUAUGUGUAAGUAACUGUGCACAUCUUGACGGUACCUAAUCAGAAAGCCACGGCUAACUACGUG
rnacentral:rRNA from 1 species